rnacentral:rRNA from 1 species
CUACGUGCCAGCAGCCGCGGUAAUACGUAGGUGGCAAGCGUUGUCCGGAAUUAUUGGGCGUAAAGCGCGCGCAGGCGGAUAGGUCAGUCUGUCUUAAAAGUUCGGGGCUUAACCCCGUGAUGGGAUGGAAACUGCCAAUCUAGAGUAUCGGAGAGGAAAGUGGAAUUCCUAGUGUAGCGGUGAAAUGCGUAGAUAUUAGGAAGAACACCAGUGGCGAAGGCGACUUUCUGGACGAAAACUGACGCUGAGGCGCGAAAGCCAGGGGAGCGAACGGGAUUAGAUACCCCGGUAGUCCUGGCCGUAAACGAUGGGUACUAGGUGUAGGAGGUAUCGACCCCUUCUGUGCCGGAGUUAACGCAAUAAGUACCCCGCCUGGGGAGUACGACCGCAAGGUUGAAACUCAAAGGAAUUGACGGGGGCCCGCACAAGCGGUGGAGUAUGUGGUUUAAUUCGACGCAACGCGAAGAACCUUACCAGGUCUUGACAU